rnacentral:rRNA from 1 species
UACGUAGGGGGCUAGCGUUGUCCGGAAUCAUUGGGCGUAAAGCGCGCGUAGGCGGUCAGGUAAGUCCGGUGUGAAAGUCAAAGGCUCAACCUUUGAAUGCCGCUGGAUACUGCAGGGCUAGAGUCCGGAAGAGGCGAGUGGAAUUCCUGGUGUGAGCGGUGAAAUGACGUAGAUAUCUGGAGGAACACCGGUGGCGAAGGCGGCAUCCUGGACCGGCAUUGACGCUGAGGCGCGAAAGCUAGGGGAGCAAAGCGGG